rnacentral:rRNA from 1 species
GGGUAGCGUAACACGUGAGCAACCUACCGAACUGUGGGGGGAUAGCCGGCCUAACGGCCGAGUAAUACCGCAUACGCUCUCAAUGAGGCAUUUCGUUGAAAGGAAACCUACGGGACAGAUCGAGGGGCUCGCGGCCUAUCAGCUAGUUGGGGGGGUAAUGGCCCACCAAGGCGACGACGGGUAGCUGGUCUGAGAGGAUGGCCAGCCACAUUGGGACUGAGAUACGGCCCAG